rnacentral:rRNA from 1 species
AUUGAACGCUGGCGGCAUGCCUUACACAUGCAAGUCGAACGGCAGCACGGACUUCGGUCUGGUGGCGAGUGGCGAACGGGUGAGUAAAGUAUCGGAACGUACCUUUCAGUGGGGGAUAACGUAGCGAAAGUUGCGCUAAUACCGCAUAUUCUGUGAGCAGGAAAGCAGGGGAUCGCAAGACCUUGCGCUGAUUGAGCGGCCGAUAUCAGAUUAGCUAGUUGGUGAGGUAAAGGCUCACCAAGGCGACGAUCUGUAGCGGGUCUGAGAGGAUGAUCCGCCACACUGGAACUGAGACACGGUCCAGACUCCUACGGGAGGCAGCAGUGGGGAAUUUUGGACAAUGGGGGCAACCCUGAUCCAGCCAUGCCGCGUGAGUGAAGAAGGCCUUCGGGUUGUAAAGCUCUUUCGGCCGGGAAGAAAUCGUAUCAGCUAAUACCUGGUGCGGAUGACGGUACCGGCAUAAGAAGCACCGGCUAACUACGUGUCAGCCGCCGCCGUAAUAC